GCCACAGAAUGGAAGAGCGAGCAGAUGCGAGGAUCCAGGGGGGAUGGUUUCCAGGGCUCCACCUGUGUUAUCCAGAAAGCAUUCACUAAUCAACACCAUACCAUUCUGUGAGCCAGAACAGCAUGUACCUGCACUCAGGUGGUACAGGGAGAGUUGUUCCAGAUGAGGCAGAGACACAGGCAGAGGGAGAAGCAGGCUCCAUGAAAGGAGCCCGAUGCGGGACUCAAUCCCAGGAUCCCGGGAUCACCCCCCGAGCCAAAGGCAGAUACUCAACCACUGAGCCACCCAGAUCUGGUGACAUCAGUAUGAGUGUUGAGUCAGCUCAUAUGCCAUAAGCUCUUCUCUCCAAGACGGCGUGGGAGACAUCACCUGGUGGGUGGCAAAGCAGUUCUUGAAAGCCAGACGUGCGGAAAAGCACACGCAUCCCUUCUUGAGAAGCACUGGUGGACCAUUAUUACACGUUUACCUCUUAUUCCACAGAGAGCAUAUUACUGGAUCCCCCCACAACUUCCAGGGCUGCCUGCUGCUGACCCUCAGUACAACCCCAAGAGGCCUCCUCUCACUUGGCCUCUUGCCCUUGGCUCUCCAGGGCUGGAGAUUCACCUGUGUGAUUCCUGCCUCUACCGCGGUAAAUCUCUUUGAAAACUGCAGGUGCAGAGCUGUUCUCUGCAGUGACUCUGAUGUCCCUGUGCUGGCAGUCUGGAUGGGCAAGUACCAAGCUCUCUGGCUUCUUCCCUAGCAGGUAACAACCUGCUUAGAACUUCCUUCACAAUGUGGUUUAUGUAUACAAUGGAAUAUUCCUCAGCCAUUAGAAACGACAAAUAACCACCAUUUGCUUCGACGUGGAUGGAACUGGAGGGUAUUAUGCUGAGUGAAAUGAGUCAAUCGGAGAAGGACAAACAUUAUAUGGUCUCAUUCAUUUGGGGAAUAUAAAAAAUAGUGAGAGGGAAUAAAGGGGAAAGGAGAAAAAAUGAGUGGGAAAUAUCAGAAAGGGAGACAGAACAUGAGAGACUCCUAACUCUG